GAAUUCCACGUGGUAGCGGGGAAAUGCGUAGAGAUGUGGAGGAACACCAGUGGCGAAGGCGGGUUUUUGGUCUGUAACUGACGCUGAGGCGCGAAAGCGUGGGGGCAGACAGGUUAGAUACCCUGGUAGUCCACGCCGUAAACGAUGAGUGCUAAGUGUUAGAGGGUUCCGCCCUUUAGUGUGCAGCUAACGCAUUAGCCUCCGCCUGGGGAGUCGGUCGCAAGACUAAACUCAAAGGAAUUGACGGGGGCCCGCACAAGCGGGGAGCAUGUGGUUUAAUUCGAAGCAACGCGAAGAACCUUACCAGGUCUUGACAUCCUCUGACAACUCUAGAGAUAGAGCGUUCCCCUUCGGGGGACAGAGUGACAGGUGGUGCAUGGUUGUCGUCAGCUCGUGUCGUGAGAUGUUGGGUUAAGUCCCGCAACGAGCGCAACCCUUGAUCUUAGUUGCCAGCAUUUAGUUGGGCACUCUAAGGUGACUGCCGGUGACAAACCGGAGGAAGGUGGGGAUGACGUCAAAUCAUCAUGCCCCUUAUGACCUGGGCUACAC
rnacentral:rRNA from 1 species